GACGAACGCUGGCGGCGUGCUUAACACAUGCAAGUCGAACGGAAAGGCCCUGCUUGCAGGGUACUCGAGUGGCGAACGGGUGAGUAACACGUGGGUGAUCUGCCCUGCACUUCGGGAUAAGCUUGGGAAACUGGGUCUAAUACCGGAUAGGAACCAUCUUUAGUGUGGUGGUUGGAAAGUUUUUUCGGUGUAGGAUGAGCUCGCGGCCUAUCAGCUUGUUGGUGGGGUAAUGGCCUACCAAGGCGGCGACGGGUAGCCGGCCUGCGAGGGUGUACGGCCACAUUGGGACUGUGAGACAGGCCAGACUAGUGCGGGUGGCAGCAGGGGGGAAUAUUGCACAAUGCGAGGAAGCCUGAUGCAGCGAGGCCUCGGGGGCGAUGAAGGCCGUCGGGUUGUAAACUCCUAUCGCUAGGGACGAAGCUUUGUUGUGACGGUACCUAGAUAAGAAGCACCGGCUAACUACGUG
rnacentral:rRNA from 1 species